rnacentral:rRNA from 1 species
UACGGGGGGGGCAAGCGUUGUUCGGAAUUACUGGGCGUAAAGGGUUCGUAGGUGGCCAACUAAGUCAGACGUGAAAUCCCUCAGCUUAACUGGGGAACUGCGUCUGAUACUGGUCGGCUUGAGUGCAGGAGAGGAACGCGGAAUUCCAGGUGUAGCGGUGAAAUGCGUAGAUAUCUGGAGGAACACCGGUGGCGAAGGCGGCGUUCUGGACUGCAACUGACACUGAUGAACGAAAGCCAGGGGAGCAAACGGG